UAAAAUUCUCCUUCCAUUUCUCCUUUCCCCCCUACUGCUCUUUCCGGGACGCCAACACACUCGGUUACCGACUGACGCCAUUUUGAGGAUGUCCCCCACCUCGUAGAAGCCGCUCCUCUGACUCACCCCUGUAAAGCUCAGCCCUUGAUGAGUUUGUGUGUGUAAAACACAUGCGUCUGUAAUUUGGACGUGGAUGCACUUUGUGAUUGGAGAAGGGCCUCUAAAAUGAGAAGGGAGAGACGUACCACCCUCUUCUGCAAUUUUUGGAGACUCGUCACAAAAAUUGUCUACUGCGAGUCGCUCUACUCUUAAAAGCAUAAUCGCUAGUGUUGUCGGACAACCGGCUGACUCACCCUUAUUCCUAUACUUCGAACGAUAUGACAGCCUUGGUACUGUUGGUCACGUUGAAUACAAUAGAGAUAACGAGGAGAGGAGGUACUCACUUGGACUUGGAACGAGAGCGGCUGCGUUCGGGAGACUUUGAUUUGGACUUUGAUUUGGAUUUCGAGUGUGGCCUUGACUUGGAGCGGCUGCUGCGUGGGCUACGGCUGCGUGAGCUGCGGGGGCUCCUAGCAAAAAAAAUC